AACGAACGCUGGCGGCAGGCUUAACACAUGCAAGUCGAGCGCCCCGCAAGGGGAGCGGCAGACGGGUGAGUAACACGUGGGAACCUACCUGAAGGUACGGAACAACUCCGGGAAACUGGAGCUAAUACCGUAUGUGCCCGAAAGGGGAAGGAUUCAUCGCCUUCAGAUGGGCCCGCGUCAGAUUAGCUAGUUGGUGAGGUAACGGCUCACCAAGGCGACGAUCUGUAGCUGGUCUGAGAGGAUGAACAGCCACACUGGGACUGAGACACGGCCCAGAGUCCUACGGGAGGCAGCAGUGGGGAGUAUUGGACAAUGGGCGCAAGCCUGAUCCAGCCAUGCAGCGUGAGUGAUGACGGCCUUAGGGUUGUAAAGCUCUUUCGACGGGGACGAUAAUGACGGUACCCGUAGAAGAAGCCCCGGCUAACUUCGUGCCAGCAGCCGCGGUAAGAC
rnacentral:rRNA from 1 species